UCAGAGCCUGGAGUCUGCUUCGGAUUCUGUGUCUCUCUCUCUUUCUGCCCCUCCCAUGCUCAUGCUGUCUCUCUCUGUCUCUCAAAAAUAAACGUUAAAAUAAAUAAAUAAAAGUAAAAAAGGUUUCUAGGUCAUAUCUAUCAGAUUCUUAAGAGACUUUUAAAGUGAGAACUAGUUUGAGAACAUUUGGUAGGUGUUUCCCCAACUUCAUUUUUCUAAGAAUGAGCUCUGCCCUUAUUUUAGAGACUGAGUCUAGCUAAAGUAGGGUGGAAAAAUUUGCUUUUUGCAUUCUUGUAUGUCACAUGAAAAGGCAAGGGAUUUAAAUUUGCUGAUGGUCCCCUCAGCCAUAGAGCAUGCCCAUUUUUGUAUGUGCUCUAGCCAAAGCUAUGCUCAAAUGUUUUUCAGUCACAACUUUCUGAACUUCUCUCUCUUUUCUAAGUGGUUAAGACUGCAGGCUCUAGAACUAGACUGCCAGGUCUGGAUACUGGGCCAACUAUUGUACAGCUGUUACUCUUGAACUUUUCUAUGCCUUACUAUAUUUCUUCAUCUAUAAAAUGGGAUUACAGUAUAACCUACCUUAUAGGAUUCUCUUAAAAGUGUAAAUGGUUUUCUGUAUAUAAAACUCUUGGAAAAUGGCAGCCACAUAGUAAAUGUUCGAUAAUUGUCAGCCCAUGGGCACCUGGGUGGCUCAGUCAGAGUCUGAGUCUUGAUUUCAGCUCAGGUCAUGAUCUCACGGUUUGUCAUGAGUUCCCAGCCCUGUGUCAGGCUCUGCGCUGACAGGGAUUCCAUCUCUCUCUCUCUCUCUCUCUCUCUCUGCCCCUUCCCCACUCACACGCAUGUUCCCUCUCUUUCUGAAAAUAAACAUUAAAAAAAUAAUUGUCAUUCCUUUUUAUAAUUUGUCACUGUUGGUUACUGCUGAUUUUCAGAAUCUGCCUUCCUGAGACAGGCUUCUUUGGGCUACUCUCAUUCCUACCUGCGUUUCCUUUUUUUCUUACUCCUUAAAUGUGAGUGCUGUCAAGGUUCUGUACUUGGCCCCCUUCUAAGUCUUCACCUUUUCUGGAUGGUUUUAUCUACUGGUUUGUCUUCUUUUACUGCCUACGUGCUGAUGAUUCACAAGUCUGUAUCUCUAAUUUCUAACCAAACCAGCUUUGUACAUUUUAGACCCAUAUAUGUUUCCAAUUGUCUGGUUAACAUACAGGCUUGGAUAGUUCCCUGGCACUUCAAACUUUGCACAUGCCACAGUGAAUUCAUCACUUCUUGCCAAACCUGAUUCUCUUAUAGUAUAGUGUAGUAUUAUAGUAUUAUACUAUAAUUCAUUCAUUCAUUCAUUCAUUCAAAUACAGAUGAUACACUGGCCUCUCUGUCUUUGAUCUUGCCCCUACAGUUAAUCUUCUAUACUGUUUGCAGAGCAAUCUUUCAAAGAAGUUUUACAUGUCUGUCUGCCAUUGCUGGACAGAGCUCCUUUAGAGAGAAAUAACAUCCUGGUUUUGUUUCCUCAGCACCUGUUAAAUUAUCUGGCAACUCACUAGAGGUGCAGUCUUGCAGUUCUCUGGCCCUGCAGCCAUCUUUGACCUGCAUUUUUUGAUAUGAUAACCACUAGCUACUUACAGCUAUUUAAUCAAAAUAAAGUUAAAAUUACUUAGUCAUACUAGCCACAUUGCUCUAAAUUGGACAACAUGCUUUAGAACAUUUCCAUUACCACAGAAAGUUGUAUUGGACAGAAAUGCCCAAGAUCCUUGCUGAUGUGGACAUUUUCCUUUAUUGACAACACGAGAACAUUCAAGCACCUGUAAAGUGUGUUAGCUUGAGAAAGUCCAUCUUUAACAUUUAUGUCUUUUUAUCUUUAUCUUGCCAUUAACCACUUUAUGGCACCUGCUUUUCAGAUAGCACCUCUAACAGCAUGUGUUCAACUAGGAAAGCCCACAGUAGGUAUUUCAACAGAGGAGAUGUUGUAGAGGCAUAGGGGACGACCCAGAGAUCCUACCUACAGGACGUAGCCACUGUUUCCAGGAGUGAGGAAACAAAAGGGGAGAAGAUGGGGUUACCAGAACCUUGGAGCUCCAAAAUAGGGGUACUUGUGGACUUGGUGCACAAAUGUCUGAGACAGUUCACCACUUAACUGUUCUUGCUACUUCUAAGGUAUGCAGUGAAGAUAGUUCCAGAAGUUCUGAAAGUAGUUGAAGACUGGAAUCAACUGACAUUAGGUCAACACAGUAGGAUUGGCAAGCAAAGAUAAAAAAGUAAAUCUUGUUUUCCUCUUACCUUCUACUUUCCCCCUAGUACUUACUGGCAGAACCUAAAUGGCCUGCAGCAGUCAAGGGGGUCAGGAGAAUACAGUUUGUGGAGUCCCAGCCCCAGUAUCAAGGAUUGAAGGGUGGAAUUGGAGCUGAGAGAUAAUAGCAUUCCUGCAUCUCCAGGAAUUAGUGAAGAUAUGGUGUCCAUUAUACCUGAAGUUCUUGAUUAUAUCCUUUCCUCCAAUGCACAGUCACCUCGUGCACUUCAGAGUAACCCUUACACUCCAGUUCCACUGAAAUAUGGCAGCAGCCACUUACUUUCAAGUCAAAGUCUUGCCUUCUGGAGUCAUUUAACCGUAAGUGAUUUCAGGUGAUAAUUUAAGUCACAACUUUGAGGUUGCAAUCAGUGGACUAUCAGUGUCCCCUUCAUACCAGUGCCUUUAUGAUAAGCAACAUGAAUUCACUUUAAUCAGAUUAGAGAUAAUAGAGAUUGUCAUGCUGAAGAUUCUGUGACCCUGGAGCCACUUUUGAUAUCAAUAACUAACUACACUUACGAGGUUGAACAAGGGAAGCAGAACUGCUAUGAGUUAUGAGAGAAGAUACUUAUGAUGAUUAAAACUACACAAUUGUGGAAGGAUCUGGGAGGUGAAAUUCUAGUUGGGAAAUUAGGGAAGGUGUCACUGACCAGUCAACCUGGGAAGCCAAUCAUACCCAGCUGCUACAGCAGGGUCUUAAAGAGAAAGCUCACAGGCCGAUCUAUGAGAAGGUGUGCUUGUUUAACUACCACCUCUACUAUGAUGAUGGGCCUGGGGCAACUGAUAGUCAACAGAGUUAGCAGUCAAAGAGCUGGGUGUAGAGUGGAGAAGAGCAGAUACAAACUAGAAUGUGUUGGCACCUCUCCAUGUGUUAGUCACCACAUCUAACCAAUAGCCUUUGAGAAUAAAAGCUAGUUCUUCUACUUUCCCAAUAUUGUGAUUCUUUUGACCAAUGCUAACUAGCAGCCGUAUAGAAAAGGAGAUUCUAGGAAAUGGACUUACAACUUUAACAGUUGACACACUUCUGGCUAUGAUGAAGGCAUGUAAGAAACACAUAGCCACAAAGCAAAUGUGGUGGGUGGCUGUGUGUGUGUGUGUGUGUGUGUGUGUGUGUGUGUGUUCAUACAUACAAUAUCUAUUAUACAAGAAUGCUUGAGAAUUCAAUAAAAAAGUAGACUUGAACAGGGUCUUUACAAAAAAAAAAAUCUAAAUGACUGAUACACAUGGAAAAGUGCUCCACCUCAAUAAUCAGGAAAAUACAAAUUAAAACCACAAGAUCGCACCAAACACCCACAAGAUUGGCAAAAAAAAAAGUUAACUUUUGGCACUACCAAAUGUUGGGAUGUGUAUGUAGCAAUAGGAUCACUCAAAUUAUGCUGGUGGGUGUGUGAAUUAGUGCAACCAUUCUGGAAAACAUUUUAAUAUUUGGUAUUAUUUUAAAACGUCUAGAGUUAUAAGUACAUUAUUCAGUAAUUCCUAAGUAUUUUUCCUAAAGAUGAUUGGGUAUAUGUGUAUCAGUUUACACAUACAAAAAUUUUCUUAAAAGCUAUUCAUACUAGAAACAACCCAAAUACCCAUCAACAGGAAACUGAUACAUUGUAGUAUAUUCCCAAAAUGGAAUAUUAUACAGCAACAAAAAGGAGCAAAUGACAGCUAUCUUUUUCAGCAUAGGUGACUCUUUUGUGAUAACACUGAGUGAAAGAAGCAAGACAAAAUCAUAUAUAGUAUCAUUCUAUUUUUUAAUGUUCAAAAAUACCCUGGGUAAAAUCACAUAUAUAGGAAUUCAUUCAUGAAUAGUAAAAUUAAAAGAUAAGAAAAGGAUUACCAUUAAGUCAGGAUAAUGGCUACUUCAAGGAGGGAGGAGUGAUGUAUGGUUGAAAAAAGACACUGGGGAGACUUGCUUCCAAUUUCAUAUGAUCUGAUAUGUUUUCAUUUUCUGUGUGUAUAUAAGUUUAGAAUUGGAGCAGAAUUAUCACUCAGAGAUAUUAAUAUGAGAAUCAGCUCUGAGAUGCAGUUAAAGCCAAAGGAAUUUCCAUGAUAUGUAAUAAGAUGAUAUAGAGAGAAAAGAGGAGGGCCCAGGGCUGACUUUUGAGGAGCAUAAAAGGUGCUAUAUUUGAGAGAAAACCAGCACAGGAAAUAGAGAAGAAUAUGAAGUGAAGUAGGAAAGUCUUAUGUCUCUUAGUCUAAGAAUAGUUUUUCUACAAGUAGGAACUGGCCACCUAUAAGUUUUUCUGAGUAAAAUGGGGACAGAAGGGUGAGUUAUCUUGACAAGGAUUAUCUGAGUGGAGUGGUGGGGACAGAAGGCAUGAUGGAAUGGCUUCAAGAAUUCAGCAGGUACUGUGCAGCUAGAAAGGACUCUGAUUAACAAGAUACUUACAAUACUGGAUACAAGAUUAGGACAGUUUUAAUGCAUCCCUCAGGCUGGGAAGAGAGUGAGGAAUAUUUUUAAUGGCCAAGAAUCAUGUGAGCCUGGAUCAUAGUUCUGAUCAACUAUGCCAAAAGGAAGACUAAAUUACUUUCCUAGUCUCCCUAUAGAAAAUAUUACAAAAUCAUUAACAUGUGAAGACAUGUGGCCAAAAAGUCAGAAAAAAUAUUAUUGAGAUGACCGGAUUUAAUUAUAUUGGUUAGUAUGUGUCAUAUUUUUUAUAGUUUUUGCUAUUCCUUUUCCUAUUCCAGUAAAUAUUAACUUUUCUACAUAAUUUUACCUUUUUUUUUUUUUUUAAUUGAAAAGCUCCUCCUCCCACCACAAAUUGGAUCCUUGGGCCCAUGAAACUUAAUUCAAGCCAGUAAGCAGGGGAGGGAGCGUAAAGCCGAGGAAAAAGGAAAAGCAUUAGGAAAAGGGGGAAAAGCUUCUCCCCAAGGAAGGUGGUAAAGAAACAUGUCUUUUUCAUCCUUUACUCUGGAUGGAUGGAGAAAUUCACAGCCACAAACUCCUUAUCUGUGGAUAUGGUUUGAGUCUAGACCUGACACUGUAUACAUGAUCUGAAAAACCUCAAGAUGUGAAUGUUUUCCCCUUGAAGUGGUGCCAGGUUGAUAGUGGCAGCAGGAAUCUGGCAUCAGUGGCAAAUUCAAAUCCUUUGUGGGGCAAGCAAUUUAUACCCACAAGGACUGAAAAUAGAAAAUGAAAAGUGUUGGCCCUGAGCAACGUGAUUUUUAAAUUGAUUUUAUAUAAUCCAUGACCAAGAGGUAAAUAUAAACAUUUGCAGAAAUUGGCAUCAAGAGUCCUUUCAGAUAUUGACGCUGGAAAAGAAUUUGCCUCCGUUUUGACGGCGAUUAUACAUUAGGAAAGGAAGAAUUUUGGAAAAUAGAAGGGUUGAAAUAGCAAGAUGUGAUCACAUUUAUCAGACUGAUAAAACUUCCAAUAAAUAUGGCCUUAAAAUAAUCUUUAGAACCUCUUUGUUAUCCCGUGUUGAGGUGGGAACAGAGAGGAGCUGCCUAGAUCCCCUUUGUAGGGGGCACUUCUUGCUGGCAGGUCCUAUAGGGUCUGCCUCAGUGCAGAGUGCUUGCUUCAUCCAAGGGCAUUGCCCUCACUGGGGUCCCACAGAUGCACGGAGUGUAUAAAGGUCAUGCCAUUUUGGCCCAGUACAGAGCCAUGUAUGCUCCAGAGUUCCCCCACUGGAUUGGCGAAGGCUUUGACCCUCACUCUUAGCCUUCUCUCUCUAUCUAGUCCUAUCUUCCCCCAUCACUCCCACAGGUGAUCAUCUGUUUUCUGCACACAAAUUCUGCCUCAGUGUGAGCUUCCAGAAAAAUGCAAUCGGGGACACAUGUUUAUCCAAUUAGAUUUGAUUAGGUUUCUCAACUAUAUUGAUGCAAAAAUAGAACCAAAUUCUUACAAGCAAUUAUCUUUCAUUACAGGUUAAUAAAUGCGUGUUCUGAAAUGUCUAUAGUCAGUUUCUUCAAUCCAAACUAGUUCAUCUAGGUAUGAUCAUCCUGGCUGACAGUACUCAAAAAAGUGACAAGAAAUGGUUGUACUAGAGGUCCCCCCUAAUGUGAAAAUUUACUAACAAAUUUGUCAAAUUUUUCUAUGCCUUUACCAAUGUGUGUAUACUGGCCUUUUGAUCACUUUAUUGAUAAUUAUUUUAAAAGCGCUUAUAGCUGAAGAAGGGAUAGUUACCCUGCAAUAAUGUGAUUGUUGUCUUCUAAAUUCCCAGUAGGUGGUGUCAUAAUACUGUAUUUAGGGAUUUUUUUUUUUAAUGGGGUAGAAAAAGAAGAAAGGCUAAUAUACUUGCUCAAAUAUAUGUACUUUCACUUUAAAAGCUGUUUUACUUUUUCUUCUAAGGUGGCACUAUUAUAAACACCUUAAUCCCUUAUGAUAUAUAUCUUUAAUUCACAUUUUUACAAAACAGUAUGUACUAAGUGACAGCAUUUUAUUAUCUUAUUCUUUGGAGUUAUACAAGGCUACACAAUCAAUCAGAAGAAUAGGAUGGACAAAAUGUUUCUAAACAUUUUUUCCUGGGAUCUUUUUCUUUACUCCCAUAUCUUAGACAUAUAAAAAAAAAGAAACUAUUCUUGUUCUGGAAUUGAAACAGAAAUGUAGGGCCUAUCAUUAUAACCAUUAAAAACCUUUAUUUUGCACUCAAAAUAUUUUCUACUUUUAGCUACUCUUUUGAACUAUCUGUAUCAUAAAUGAUUGACCUUGCUGGAAAUCCCCCUAUUUCUAGUUGAAUUGAAUGUAGUCUUAUUUUUCCUUGCAUUUUAAUAAAUCUUACAUUUUCUUUGGCAUUAUAAUACAUACUAAUUCAGAGGAUAGUACGGCCUCAGUGUAAGGAUGAAUCUCAGUGUUCCAUGUAACAUUUCAUGUUCUUAGUGUUUCCCCAACUAGAUUAUAUACCCUUUGAAGAUAGGCCCAUGGAUUAGUGGGGUUUAUUUUGUUUGUUUCGUAACCACCACAAAGCCUGUCUUAAACUAUGCAAAGCUACAUAGUAGAUGUUUGGAAAAUGUAUGUUAAAUAAUGUGCUACUAUUUAAAUUUAAAA